rnacentral:piRNA from 1 species
CCCAAUAAUGCCCGACGGGAAGGUGUCU